GUAUGGCUUUGUAUGGCUUUAAAGGGGAGGUGGUUGGGUUUUUUUUUUUUUUAUUAUUUUUUUUUGUAUUAUUAUUUUAGACCAAUAAUGUGGUACCACGUGUGCAAAUAAUCCCAAGUUACAAAUGGUAACAUGUUUAGCCGGUUUCAAGUCACCUGGGACCAUUGAAAGCGGAUUGGGUAUAAAGGUCGGAUUAUUAAAAAAUAAUCGAAAGGUGGGAUUAUUUUGGGCGGAUGAGGCAAAGAUCAGAUUAUUCUGGGCAAUUUUUCCUAAAAUUAAUUCAUACAAUACCAUUUUAAAAGGAGUGUUAUGUUCAACGUCAACAUAAUUAGUGCAAAAACAUACAAAAAAUAAUCCUUUGAAGUGAUUAAUGCUCUUAUAUUUAAACCUUAUCGCAAUUGAUGUAGAUCAAUUCACUAAAGAUUAUAUACAAUUUUUCCUUAAAAUCAUCUCGAAAUGAGUAAAUGACACAUCAAUUGCAAAAAUAGCCUAUUUACUAUUUAAAGUCUUAAUAUGUACGUGUAAUUGAAAUAGUGUUAACUCCUUGUACAUUUAUAGAAUAUCAUGUCUAAUAAAGUUACCCCUAAAAUUACAAAAAUUACCUUUUAAAAUUGCAAGAGUUACCCAAAAUUUAUUCUUUUUUUUGACAGGAUACCUAAAAUUUAUUCUUAUACUCACAAAAGUUACUCUUAAAAAUUAAAAUCACAUAAGUUACCUAUAAGACAAUACUAUUGCAAAAGGUUUACGUAUAAUCUUGUAAAAGUUACCCAUAAUCUUAACCCAUUCAAAAGUGGAAACCUUCAAAAAUUGGUCAACAUCCUUGAGGAAUAGUGAUAUGAGUCUAAAGUCCAUGAUUUUUACUGUACAAUUGAGCAAAAUUGCCGAAAUUAUGCUGGCUUGAAAUUCGUUCAUUUCAUUCCAAUUUGGUUUCAUUUAAUGAGUCAUCAUAUUACUUUCUCCCCUUUUCCCUCAUCUCCACUCAUUCUACUUUUACAUUUCAUUUUUUUUUCUCACUCCUUUCUCUCUUUCAGUCCUUUCUCCUCCAUUAAGAUGCGUACUCCAUUGAUUUUUCAUUUCAUUUCAUAAUCUGAUUUUUCCAUUGAAGCAUAAUCUGAGUUUUCUCUCCUCCAUUGAAACUGAGAUUAAUGGAUUCAUGAAUGAAUGGAUGCAUUGAAGCGACUUUGAGGAUACGUCGGGUUUUUGUUUUCAGACCCAUGGCUUCAUAAUCACUAUCAGUUCACUGAAGUUGAGUUUUGGCAUUGAAAUCUCAGGAAGGGAGAUUUUGUUUGCAGUAAUCAAGCCCAAUCAAUGUGUUCCUCUAAUUUAAAUAUCGAGUGCUACAGUUUUAUCCGUGUACAAGAGUAGCCGGGUACAUCCUUGACACACACGAGUCUAGAAGUUUGGGUUAACAUUCGAGGUUGAUACAUGUGGUAAAUAAAAAAAAAAAUCUCUUAAUAUUACGUUCAGAAUGAUCCUCUUUUGUAUGAACUUCAGGUAUGAACACCCCUACUUUUAGAAGCAAAAACUACUUGUGGGUCUCUUUUGUAUGAACUUCAGGUAUGAUACAAGAUAAUUGCACUUCAGCUCUUCAAGGUUAGGAUGUUAUUUUUAUCUUGUUAUCAUUGGUGAUUAACUCUGUUCUCUAUGCUUACUAUUUUAUCUAGAUGAUAUGGGAUAAAAUGGGCAAGCCAAAAACAACUAUGAUAAAAUGUUACUUGAGGUUGAACAAGAAUGCAUAGAAGUAGACACGAGAAAAGUUGAUGCAGCUAACUGCUCUACAUCUGGCUAUAUAUUGAUGAUUCAGAGGCAAAACUUGCAGCCAUAUAUUAUGACAUAUGUAAUAGUUUUUGUAAUUAAUUUGUAAACUAGGUAGGAUUAGUAACCUUUACUCCUUUUAAGAAUACUUGAUUAGGUUUCUAAUUUUAUAAUUCCCUGUGCGAUUCCUAUGACUUGUAUUGUGUCUAAGAUACAUUUUUUUUCAAAGCAGUUUGCAUGCUACUUUUGUCAGUA